CCGGCACGGGUGAGUAACACGUAUCCAACCUGCCGUCUACUCUUGGACAGCCUUCUGAAAGGAAGAUUAAUACAAGAUGGCAUCAUGAGUCCGCAUGUUCACAUGAUUAAAGGUAUUCCGGUAGACGAUGGGGAUGCGUUCCAUUAGAUAGUAGGCGGGGUAACGGCCCGCCUAGUCUUCGAUGGAUAGGGGUUCUGAGAGGAAGGUCCCCCACAUUGGAACUGAGACACGGUCCAA
rnacentral:rRNA from 1 species